AGUUCUCUGAUGACUUUUUUGUGGCUCUCCCCUAGACCCACCCCAAUAGUUCCAUGGCUUUCUUGUGGUGAGGGCCCUGGAGAUGGAUGCCAUUCUUCAGGUGGGGUCUCAGAAGAAGCCACAGGCAUCUGGAGCUUCCAAGAGCAGUGAGGAAGGUGACUGCAACCUUUCAUAAAAAGAGAAGCUCUACCAUGUCUUGUCACUGCAUGACCACAUCAGUUCAGUGACACUGUGGUGAAACAACUCUGUUCUUCAUCUCAGACCAAGAUCUCCUGUUUUUGUACCACCAGACAUCUUUGGAAAACAGCCCUUCUUCUUCUUUAGCCAUACCUAGGUAACCCAAAUCUUCUGGACAAAGACAUAAGCAGCAGGAUUGGUCGCAAGCCUGCUCCUGGUUCCGGUGUUAGCUGGUGGCCUGACCUGCCUGUUGUCUCUGCCAUCGUCCCACUGUGGGCGGGAAAGCAACGUGACACAAAAGGAGAGGAGCAGAGAAACUCCUGAAAUUCCUGGAGAAGCUAGGCUGCCCAACGCCAGGCGUGCCGGGCUGAGUGCACACACAACAGUAGUGCCUGUCAGACUCCCUGCCUCCAGCCUGGUUUUGCUUUCGCACACAGGUGUAGCAGUCGAUAUUCUGGGAAAAAGGCGGGGGGGAGGGGGGGGGGGUGUGGAUAUAUUCCUGAAACAAAAAAUACAGAUUUUAACGCGAUGCCCACGUUUCCACGAAGACUUGCCGCUGUGCACCCCGCACCGCCCGGGGAGUGGGGCUGCCUUCCCCAUGCUGGGCUCGUUCCGCAGGAGGAAAACCCAGGGACACCCACAACCGUCCAGCCCUUCUUCCUGAUCACAGCCGCUGCUAAUUUUAAAAGUUGUUUGUGCCGCCUCCGAGAGAAAAAAAAAAUAAAUGUCUGUAACAGAGGUGCCGAGAACA
rnacentral:lncRNA from 1 species